GAGAAGCUUGCGGCUGAUUAGCUUGUUGGUAAGGUAAUGGCUUACCAAGGCGACGAUCAGUAUCUGGUUUGAGAGGACGAUCAGACACACCGGAACUGAGACACGGUCCAGACUCCUACGGGAGGCAGCAGUGGGGAAUUUUCCGCAAUGGGCGAAAGCCUGACGGAGCAAUCUCGCGUGAGGGAUGACGGCCUAUGGGUUGUAAACCUCUUUUUUCAGGGAGGAAUAAAAUGACGUGUACCUGAAGAAUAAGCAUCGGCUAACUCCGUGCCAGCAGCCGCGGUAAGACGGAGGAUGCAAGUGUUAUCCGGAAUCACUGGGCGUAAAGCGUCUGUAGGUGGUUUAAUAAGUCAACUGUUAAAUCUUGAGGCUCAACCUCAAAAUCGCAGUCGAAACUAUUAGGCUAGAGUAUAGUAGGGGUAAAGGGAAUUUCCAGUGGAGCGGUGAAAUGCGUAGAGAUUGGAAAGAACACCGAUGGCGAAGGCACUUUACUGGGCUAUUACUAACACUCAGAGACGAAAGCUAGGGUAGCAAAUGGGAUUAGAUACCCCAGUAGUCCUAGCCGUAAACAAUGGAUACUAGAUGU
rnacentral:rRNA from 1 species